rnacentral:rRNA from 1 species
AUGCAGAUUGGUAGCAGUGGGCCACCACCGAGGAACAGGGCAUCACCUUCAAGACUUUUUCUCCUAAACAGUGGCCUUGAUGAUACACAAAAGGAUGCCAUUGGUGAUAUAAGCUGUGGGGGUGUGCUUGAUAUCGGGACAAGAACAAUGAAAGGAGAUCUUGCGAAGUUUGUGACGAAGUGUUAUGAUCCAGAUUUGUCGCAGCUUGUUAUCCCAGAUAGGGGGAAGAUCCCAGUUGAUGCAGCAAGCGUAGAAAGAAUCUGGGGUUUGCCAAGGGGGCAGGGAAGGUUGCAUAUGAAGUGGAGCCAGACGUAG